rnacentral:rRNA from 1 species
UACGGGGGGGGCAAGCGUUGUUCGGAAUUACUGGGCGUAAAGGGCUCGUAGGCGGCCAACUAAGUCGGACGUGAAAUCCCUCGGCUUAACCGGGGAACUGCGUCCGAUACUGGAUGGCUUGAGUUCGGGAGAGGGAUGCGGAAUUCCAGGUGUAGCGGUGAAAUGCGCAGAUAUCUGGAGGAACACCGGUGGCGAAGGCGGCAUCCUGGACCGACACUGACGCUGAGGAGCGAAAGCCAGGGGAGCAAACGGG